CCUCACUACUUGAGUGAAGCCAAUGACGUCCCGUCAGGCAGGCGGGCUCUGGCACACGCAUAGUAAAUAUUUUCCACGAUUAAAUCCCCCGAUCGUCGGGAGCACGGUGAGAUCCAUAUGCUUUGCGGUUGGAUGAGCUAGCUGGACGAGAACCUCUCUCCUGGAAGAGAAGCGGCUUAGAACCAUCCAACGUCAAGCCCUCAAAACUAUUGUGAAGGAAAACCUUUGUAAAAUGUGGGAUUAUGGAUUAGCCAAAGCUGCUAAUGAGAGGGGCUCCAAAGUAAACAACAGCCACAAGAACGUGGCGGCAGACAUGUGAUGAGGAUGAACCGGAGGAUAACUAAAUCAGGGGAACCAAGGGAACACGUCUUGGAAGCAUCAGAGAUCAGAGGAACACAGACAAAAACAAAGAGGCAAACAACUGAAUAUGAAAGACAUUGACUGGAACACAAGAAAAGGUGAACGACAAAGUGAGUAUCAUUGUUAAUGCUACUAGGUUAUGCCGGCCUACAAGCAACCACAGCUGCCUCACUAACUCCAAAGACUUCAAGGAUAACAAUGAGGUUGUACAUGUACAACUUUUGUCAACCUGGACCUGUCUUGGGGCAGUCGCCCCCUGCUGGUUGGGGGGAGAACCGUAACAUAUGUACAUCAUAUUUGGACAGCAGGAUUUCUAUGCAUGUUUUGCUUCUUACCUUGCACAGAACAUGGACGUUCUUUGAUUUUAAUGUUUCUUCUAAGUAGCUUCAUGUCAAGGGACUGGGAUCAACCUGACUUUUCUCUCUUAUUAAUGUCGACCGGAAAGAGCUAAUUUUAUUGUCAGUUCCAUCCAAAUGUAGCUGCUGAAAGCAUAUUAAGACAGAACCCCAUGUUAUACUCUUCUGCUUUUAUUGGUUUAAAUAGACUAUUGUGUGCUUGCCAUAUAUCGUAAUGGCCCUGAUGGCACAGCUAAACACACGGCCUGCAGAGGAAAUAAAGUUCGACACUCUAUUAUGUUA